rnacentral:rRNA from 1 species
AGGACGAACGCUGGCGGCGUGCUUAACACAUGCAAGUCGAACGAGGCCCUACCUUCGGGUAGGUGACCUAGUGGCGACGGGUGAGGUAACGACGUGGCAACCUACCCUCAGCUCUGGGAUAACCCCGGGAAACCGGAGCUAAUACCGGAUAUGACCUUGAACGACAUCGUUCUUGGUGGAAAGUUUUUCGGCUGAGGAUGGGCCCGCGGCCUAUCAGCUUGUUGGCGGGGUAAUGGCCCACCAAGGCGACGACGGGUAGCCGGCCUGAGAGGGCGAUCGGCCACACUGGGACUGAGACACGGCCCAGACUCCUACGGGAGGCAGCAGUGGGGAAUAUGCGCAAUGGGCGAAAGCCUGACGCAGCGACGCCGCGUGAGGGAUGAAGGCCUUCGGGUUGUAAACCUCUUUCAGCAGGGACGAAGCGAAAGUGACGGUACCUGCAGAAGAAGCACCGGCCAACUACGUGCCAGCAGCCGC